rnacentral:rRNA from 1 species
GAUGAACGCUGGCGGCGUGCCUAAUACAUGCAAGUCGAGCGAACAGAUGAGGAGCUUGCUCCUCUGACGUUAGCGGCGGACGGGUGAGUAACACGUGGAUCACCUACCUAUAAGACUGGGAUAACUUCGGGAAACCGGAGCUAAUACCGGAUAAUAUAUUGAACCGCAUGGUUCAAUAGUGAAAGACGGUUUUGCUGUCACUUAUAGAUGGAUCCGCGCCGCAUUAGCUAGUUGGUAAGGUAACGGCUUACCAAGGCAACGAUGCGUAGCCGACCUGAGAGGGUGAUCGGCCACACUGGAACUGAGACACGGUCCAGACUACUACGGGAGGCAGCAGUAGGGUAUCUUCCGCAAUGGGCGAAAGCCUGACGGAGCAACGCCGCGUGAGUGAUGAAGGUCUUCGGAUCGUAAAACUCUGUUAUUAGGGAAGAACAAAUGUGUAAGUAACUAUGCACGUCUUGACGGUACCUAAUCAGAAAGCCACGGCUAACUACGUG